rnacentral:rRNA from 1 species
GAUGAACGCUAGCUACAGGCUUAACACAUGCAAGUCGAGGGGCAGCAUGAACUUAGCUUGCUAAGUUUGAUGGCGACCGGCGCACGGGUGAGUAACACGUAUCCAACCUGCCGAUGACUCGGGGAUAGCCUUUCGAAAGAAAGAUUAAUACCCGAUGGCAUAGUUCUUCCGCAUGGUAGAACUAUUAAAGAAUUUCGGUCAUCGAUGGGGAUGCGUUCCAUUAGGUUGUUGGCGGGGUAACGGCCCACCAAGCCUUCGAUGGAUAGGGGUUCUGAGAGGAAGGUCCCCACAUUGGAACUGAGACACGGUCCAAACUCCUACGGGAGGCAGCAGUGAGGAAUAUUGGUCAAUGGACGAGAGUCUGAACCAGCCAAGUAGCGUGAAGGAUGACUGCCCUAUGGGUUGUAAACUUCUUUUAUACGGGAAUAAAGUGAGGCACGUGUGCCUUUUUGUAUGUACCGUAUGAAUAAGGAUCGGCUAACUCCGUG